rnacentral:rRNA from 1 species
CUAUAAUGCAGUCGAGCGAAUGGAUUAAGAGCUUGCUCUUAUGAAGUUAGCGGCGGACGGGUGAGUAACACGUGGGUAACCUGCCCAUAAGACUGGGAUAACUCCGGGAAACCGGGGCUAAUACCGGAUAACAUUUUGAACUGCAUGGUUCGAAAUUGAAAGGCGGCUUCGGCUGUCACUUAUGGAUGGACCCGCGUCGCAUUAGCUAGUUGGUGAGGUAACGGCUCACCAAGGCAACGAUGCGUAGCCGACCUGAGAGGGUGAUCGGCCACACUGGGACUGAGACACGGCCCAGACUCCUACGGGAGGCAGCAGUAGGGAAUCUUCCGCAAUGGACGAAAGUCUGACGGAGCAACGCCGCGUGAGUGAUGAAGGCUUUCGGGUCGUAAAACUCUGUUGUUAGGGAAGAACAAGUGCUAGUUGAAUAAGCUGGCACCUUGACGGUACCUAACCAGAAAGCCACGGCUAACUACGUGCCAGCAGCCGCGGUAAUACGUAGGUGGCAAGCGUUAUCCGGAAUUAUUGGGCGUAAAGCGCGCGCAGGUGGUUUCUUAAGUCUGAUGUGAAAGCCCACGGCUCAACCGUGGAGGGUCAUUGGAAACUGGGAGACUUGAGUGCAGAAGAGGAAAGUGGAAUUCCAUGUGUAGCGGUGAGAUGCGUAGAGAUAUG